rnacentral:rRNA from 1 species
ACAGGUGGUGCAUGGUUGUCGUCAGCUCGUGUCGUGAGAUGGGGUUAAGUCCCGCAACAGAGCGCACCCCUCGCCCCUAGUUGCCAGCAUUCAGUUGGGCACUCUAGGGGGACUGCCGGCGACAAGCCGGAGGAAGGUGGGGAUGACGUCAAAUCAUCAUGCCCCUUAUGACCUGGGCUACACACGUGCUACAAUGGGCGGUACAAAGGGCUGCGAACCCGCGAGGGGGAGCGAAUCCCAAAAAGCCGCUCUCAGUUCGGAUUGAAGGCUGCAACUCGCCUGCAUGAAGCCGGAAUCGCUAGUAAUCGCGGAUCAGCAUGCCCGACCCGAAUUU